rnacentral:rRNA from 1 species
GGUUGACUUGAGGAAGGUAGGGAGAAUGGAAUUCCUGGUGGAGCGGUGGAAUGCGCAGAUAUCAGGAGGAACACCAGUGGCGAAGGCGGUUCUCUGGGCCGUUUCCUGACGCUGAGGAGCGAAAGACGUGGGGAGCGAACAGGCUUAGAUACCCUGGUAGUCCACGCUGUAAACGGUGGGUACUAGGUGUGGGGUCCAUUCCACGGGUUCCGUGCCGUAGCUAACGCUUUAAGUACCCCGCCUGGGAGGUACGUCCGGCAGUAGUGAACACAGAAAGUNUCGGGGACCCGGGCCACAAACACGGGUCGGGUUGGGACCGACGGGCCCGGACGUAGGUUCGGGAGGGGCAACGGACGCCAACAGGGGAGGUAUGG